rnacentral:rRNA from 1 species
GACGUAGGAGGCGAGCGUUGUCCGGAUUUACUGGGCGUAAAGCGCGCGCAGGCGGUCGCGCAGGUCAUCUGUGAAAGCCCCCGGCUCAACCGGGCGGAUGCGGGUGAAACCGCGCGACUGGAGGGUGGGAGAGGUCGGCGGAAUUCCCGGUGUAGUGGUGAAAUGCGUAGAUAUCGGGAGGAACACCAGUGGCGAAGGCGACUACCUGGCCUGUUCUUGACGCUGAGGCGCGAAAGCUAGGGGAGCAAACGGG